rnacentral:tRNA from 3 species
GCUGAGAUGGCGUAAUUGGUAGCCGCGCUGGUCUUAGGAGCCAGUGCCGAAAGGCGUGCGAGUUCGAGUCUCGCUCUCAGCACCA